rnacentral:rRNA from 1 species
AGUGGCGGACGGGUGAGUAACGCGUGAGAAUCUGCCUUGGGGUCGGGGACAACCACUGGAAACGGUGGCUAAUACCGGAUAAGCCGAUUGGUGAAAGAUUUAUUGCCCGAAGAGGAGCUCGCGUCUGAUUAGCUAGUUGGUGAGGUAAGAGCUCACCAAGGCAGCGAUCAGUAGCUGGUCUGAGAGGACGAUCAGCCACACUGGGACUGAGACACGGCCCAGACUCCUACGGGAGGCAGCAGUGGGGAAUUUUCCGCAAUGGGCGAAAGCCUGACGGAGCAAGACCGCGUGAGGGAGGAAGGCUCUUGGGUUGUAAACCUCUUUUCUCAGGGAAGAAGCUCUGACGGUACCUGAGGAAUCAGCCUCGGCUAACUCCGUGCCAGCAGCCGCGGUAAUACGGAGGAGGCAAGCGUUAUCCGGAAUUAUUGGGCGUAAAGCGUCCGCAGGUGGCGAUUCAAGUCUGCUGUCAAAGCACGGGGCCUAACUCCGUAAAGGCAGUGGAAACUGAAUAGCUAGAGUGCCGUAGGGGUAGAGGGAAUUCCCGGUGUAGCGGUGAAAUGCGUAGAGAUCGGGAAGAACAUCGGUGGCGAAAGCGCUCUACUGGACGGCAACUGACACUCAGGGACGAAAGCUAGGGGAGCGAAUGGGAUUAGAUACCCC